rnacentral:rRNA from 1 species
GAUACGGGACUCAUCCGAGGCCCCGUAAUCGGAAUGAGUACACUUUAAAUCCUUUAAUGAGGAUCCAUUGGAGGGCAAGUCUGGUGCCAGCAGCCGCGGUAAUUCCAGCUCCAAUAGCGUAUAUUAAAGUUGUUGCGGUUAAAAAGCUCGUAGUUGAAUCUGUGUGCCACGCUGUCGGUGCACCGCUCGCGGUGUUUAACUGGCAUGAUUGUGGGACGUCCUACCGGUGGGCCUAACUUUAUUUCACAAUAAAGCGGCCCAACUAAUAUCCCAUCGCGGUGCUCUUAAACGAGUGUCGAGGUGGGCCGGUACGUUUACUUUGAACAAAUUAGAGUGCUUAAAGCAGGCUAUUUUCGCCUGAAUACUGUGUGCAUGGAAUAAUAGAAUAGGAUCUCGGUUCUAUUUUGUUGGUUUUCGGAACUCCGAGAUAAUGAUUAAUAGGGACAGAUGGGGGCAUUCGUAUUGCGACGUUAGAGGUGAAAUUCUUGGAUCGUCGCAAGACGGACAGAAGCGAAAGCAUUUGCCAAAAAUGUUUUCAUUAAUCAAGAACGAAAGUUAGAGGUUCGAAGGCGAUCAGAUACCGCCCUAGUUCUAACCAUAAACGAUGCCAGCUAGCGAUCCGCCGAAGUUCCUCCGAUGACUCGGCGGGCAGCUUCCGGGAAACCAAAGCUUUUGGGUUCCGGGGGAAGUAUGGUUGCAAAGCUGAAACUUAAAGGAAU